GACGAACGCUGGCGGCGUGCUUAACGCAUGCAAGUCGAACGGAAAGGCCCUGCUUGCAGGGUGCUCGAGGGGCGAACGGGGGAUUAACACUUGGGAGAUCUGCCCCUUGUUUUGGGAUACACCUGGGAAACUGUGUCUAGUACUGGAUAAGACCAUGCGACUGGUGUUGUGGUUGAAGGAUUGGGUUCGGUAAGGGAUGAGCUCGCGGCCUUUCAGAUUUUUGGUGGGGUACUGGCCUACCAAGCCGUCGACGGGUAGCCGGCCUGAGAGGGUGGACGGCAACAUUGGGAGUGAGAUAAGGCACAGACUCCUACGGGAGGCAGCGGUGGAGAAUAGAGCACUAUGGGAGGAAGGCUGAUGCAGCGACGCAGCGUGGUGGAUGCGGGGAUGCGGGUUGUAAACUACAUUGCGCCAUGAAGAAGCCAUUGUGGUGACGGUAGUGGUAGAAGAAGCGCCGGCUAACUACGUG
rnacentral:rRNA from 1 species